AACUGGAUUGAAACCUAGAGCGUGUCUCUUGCUUCACACUCUCCUCACGAUGAAUAUUCUUCUCUACAACCCCUCUUUCUCCCAGUGAUCAAUCUUGUUUUUGGCCGCCAGAAACAUCGCUCUUCUUCUCCCUCAUUAGCCAUCAGGACUCUAUUUUCCCCCUUUCGUCUCUUCUCUCUUCGCAACUGCUCCGGCGUUCGUUUUUCACGUCACCACAAGCAGUCAAGCAUUAAAGUAUCCAUCAUCGCUCGGUCCUGCACUUUGAGAGCCGUUCACACCACACACAAUCUCUGUAUCGUCCAUCAUUGAUGUCUUCGUCAGCUUACAGCCGCACACAUGCUUCUCUUCCGUUGAGGUCUCUCACCACGCUCACUGCUCAGGGGAAACGAGGUAUUGAGAAACAACCUUUUCAACUUCCUAAUUUCAAAGAAUAAGGGAUGCUUGUAAGAUAAUUUACGGUGGAUGCCCAUUUGAGCUUUAUAAGUCAAAUCUUAGUCCUAUGAUCAUUGGACCAAAAUAUUUGAAAAAUUAGCCUUUGUGAAUCAUGAUUGUGAAUAUCUUUAAUGCAUUGAAUACUGACCUGAUCCACAGGUCAGUGGGUUUAAGGAAGCAUACAGAGUGCUAAAAAUAGGAGGCAAAGCAUGCCUUAUAGGUCCUGUGCACCCAACUUUUUGGCUGUUUCAAUUCUUUGCAGACAUGUGGAUGCUCUUCCCUAAGGAGGACGGGUAUAUUGAAUGGUUUAAGAAGGCUGGUUUCAAAGAUGUCAAGCUCAAAAGGAUAGGUCCAAAAUGGUAUCGCGGCGUACGGAGGCAGCACGGACUCAUCAUGGGUUGUUCUGUCACUGGUGUCAAGCCUUUAUCAGCUUGGUCCUAAGGUAGAGGAGGAUGUACAGAAACCUGUAAAUCCAUUGCUGUUUGUCUCGAGGCUUAUUUUUGGUGCAAUUGAAGCCACUUACUAUGUAAUACUACCAAUUUACAUGUGGAUCAAGGACCAAAUUGUUUCAAAGGGCAGGACUAUUUAAUCAAAGAUUGGAGAAUCAAGUAAAGUUAGGGUAGGAAGUGGUGGUCUGGUUUUGAUGAUUGAUGUUCAAAAGCCUUUAAUUUCCAAAUUAAUGGCCAAGAAUAUUGCUUCCAUAAUGUUAAUUUGUUGACAUGUUCUGCCAUAGUCAGUUGCAUUGCCCCUUCAAUUUUACUAUAAUUCUAGAAUGGAUAUUUACUUUCACCCCAAUCAUCAAUUGUUUAUUUGGAGAUUAGGGAGAUGUUCCUGCAGCAGAUAAGCCAAGUUUAUGAGAUAUAUAUAGAAUAUGUGCUGGCUGUUUCAUGAUCUUAUUUCUUGUCUGCAAGAUUCAACUUAGUAUUGUAUCUGCUUCUGUAAUGUUCUGUUUGACAGUGGACAAGACAAAAUAACAAUGAGUCUAUGUUCGACGAUAUCCAAAAUGAUAUGUUUACAUGUUAUGGCUUAUUUUCUUUUUUAAUCAUCAUUAUUGAGAUUUUUUA